rnacentral:rRNA from 1 species
AUUGAACGCUGGCGGCAGGCCUAACACAUGCCAGUCGAGCGGAGCGGCGGACGGGUGAGUAAUGCCUAGGAAUCUGCCUGGUCGUGGGGGAUAACGUCCGGAAACGUGCGCUAAUACCGCAUCCUAUCAGAUGAGCCUAUGUCGGAUUAGCUAGUUGGUGGGGUAAAGGCCUACCAAGGCGACGAUCCGUAACUGGUCUGAGAGGAUGCUCAGUCACUCUGGAACUGAGACACGGUCCAGACUCCUACGGGAGGCAGUAGUGGGGAAUAUUGGACAAUGGGCGAAAGCCUGAUCCAGCCAUGCCGAGGGUGUGAAGAAGGUCUUCGGAUGGUAAAGCACUUUAAGUUGGGAGGCGUUACCAACAGAAUAAGCAACGGCUAACUGCGGGCCAGCAGCCGCGGUAAUUC